rnacentral:sRNA from 1 species
UUUACAUAGAAUACACAGCCGGGACAGGGUAUAACUUUCUGUUGGGCCAUUGCAUUGCCACUGAUUUUCCAACAUAUAAAAAGACAAGCCCGAACAGUCGUCCGGGCUUUUUUU